AUUGCAGAGAUCGUGUGUGUGUUGAAUUUUAGUCAGUAUUUACCAUAAACAAAAAAUACCAAGUGUGGAAACUGAGCGAUCUAAUGACAUUUGCCUAGAAGCUGCGAGGUGUGGUGAAUGUCGUCAAUCUAUCGUUGUGUUCGUGUUGGAUGUGUGGUGAAAGUCGUGAAUCUAUAAAUGUAUGCGUGUUAACGUCAUUUACCAACGUGGUGGCUUUCACAUAUAUUCACAGACAACACUGUACACAAAAGGGUUUUGGGGGGUAAGACUUGCAGAGCGACAUGGUAUAAAAAGACAACCCUUCAAGCAAGAAAACUGAGUUCAACAAAGAAACUCCUACCUCAGACCGCGAAAAUCGGGCUUGCACUCACACACUUGCAACUUUUUGUGUAUGAACACAAAGUCGAACGAGAAUCGUGGUGAAAAAUGAGAAAAGGAAAAGAAUGACAAGGCCAACAAGAGCCAAAGCGUCAUUUUGUUAUUUUUUGUUGAAGUGUUUGGUCGCGUCGUGUCUCGUGUCGUUGUUUGUAUAAUGUUAGUUUAUUAAUUAUAAACAAUUUUAUUAAAUUAUAAACUAUAUGGAAAACAAAAAAGAUGUAAUCUCUAAUGAUGAAGAAAAAUCUAGAAGGUGAAACAUGCGAUUGGGUAUCUAAAAAAACACCAACAACAGCAGCAGCAUCAAAUGAAAUAAAAUGAAAAAAAAUGUAUUGUAUUUUAUAUUGUAUUUAUUGUGAAAAUUUCGUUUGCCAAAAUAAAAUAAAAAAUAAAACAGUUUCAGUGAAAAAAAAAAUAAAUCUUGUUCUUUUUUUGGUCGCAAAUGCGAAAUGUCAUCCCUUUCUUAUUCCUCUUUCUGGUAGGUUUUCGCUGCUCCGGCUCAGGUCCGCCUUCGGCUCCGUUUUCU